rnacentral:rRNA from 1 species
AUAAAUCAAAACUUUCAACAACGGAUCUCUUGGUUCUGGCAUCGAUGAAGAACGCAGCAAAAUGCGAUAAGUAAUGUGAAUUGCAGAAUUCAGUGAAUCAUCGAAUCUUUGAACGCACAUUGCGCCCGCCAGUAUUCUGGCGGGCAU